ACACAUUUCGAGCCUGUGGCUCCAAACGUUAGAAUUUCAGACAUAGAUCACCAAGAUGAUUUAUCAAUUAAUAAUACACUUCAUGAAACUGAUAAUAUUGCUAGAGAAAUGUCAUCACAUUCUUUGUAA